AAAAAAACUACAACAAUGUUAGGUUUGAUUGAGAAAAAAAAAAAAAAUAAAUAAUAAAAAAAAGUUUAGAAUACACAUUCAAACAUGUACUACGUAGGGGAAAAAAAAAAAAAAAAAAAAAUAGUGAAAAUGCAAAUUGAACACGUAAACUGUUGGUAUAAAUCGAUGUAUAUGGUAUAAACCGAUGUAUAUGGUAUAAGAUGUAUAUGGUAUAAGAUGUAUAUGGUAUAAUUGUAAGAUACACUCAAAAAUCUUAUUUGUAAAUAUUUACUUAUUGAUAAAAGUCAUAAACGUAUUUUUAAAAAAACAAAAACAUGCACGUGCGCACUUAUAUCGAUAACAUUAUUUAAACGCGCAUUCAUAAUAAAACAAAAGUUAAAAAAAAAAAAAAAAACUUUAAAAUUGGGGCAUUAAUUUGUAUAAUCAUCAUAAAGUUAAAAAAGAAAUAAGUAAAUAAUUAGGGUCGUAAAUGAAUAAGUAAAGGUAGUAAAUGAAUAAGUAAAGGUAGUAAANNNNNNNNNNAAGGUAGUAAAUGAAUAAGUAAAGGUAGUAAAUGAAUAAGUAAAGGUCGUAAAAUACAUCAAUUACAAAAUGAAUAAAUGAAUAAAUGAAUAAAUGAAUAAACACGUUAGUAAAGAAGCUACUACAUAACUAACUUUUGUUCAUGCGUUACUGACUAUAACAUUUACUUUAACCACAACUAAAAUUAUUACAUAGCCAAAUAUAAUUACAAUAGUAUAAUUAAAUAUGCACUUUAUACACAUAUUGUAAUAUAAAAAAAAAAAAAAAAAAAAAAUAAUAAUAUAGAAACAAAUAUAUUAGCUUAAAAAUGUUAUAUAUGUUAAUAAAAAGGUUUCAUGUUAUAUCCCGUCCUAUCCUGUCAGAUCCUAUCUUAUCCUGCCAUGUUAUGUCAUUAUCGUUCCUUUUUUUUUUUUUUUUUUUUUUUUUUUUUUUUUUUUUUUUUUUUUUUUUUUUUUUUUUUUUUUCAUUUUGGUUUUUAUUAUUAACAGGUUGUACAUACUCUUUUAUUGUACCAUUAGGUAAAUUAAUAUCAAUACCAAAUAUUAAAUUAUUUUUUUCAAUAAUACUAUUCCAUAUACUCAUAUUUCUACAACUUAAUUCAUGUCCGGCAAGACCUAAUAUACCAUCCGUAUCUUGAAACAGGCUCCAAUUUUUAUAAAAAGUUAAAUCGACUACUAGUUUUAUGUCUGCAUUAUUAAAAAAGGCGUCCCUAACACUUGCAUUACUUCCUUCUACAAUUCUUUCAUUACUUCUUUCGUUGUUGCUUUCGGUACCUCUUUCGUUGUUGCUUUCGGUACNNNNNNNNNNUCUUUCGUUGUUGCUUUCGGUACCUCUUUCGUUGUUGCUUUCGGUACCUCUUUCGUUGUUGCUUUUAGUACCUCUUUCGUUAGUGUUCACCAAAUCCAAUAAUUGAACAUCAUCUAAGCCUUCUAUAUGACUUUCAGUAUAUCGUAGCGAGUCGAAGUAUAUAUUAGGAUACUCGGCUUUAUUUUCGAAUAUUAAAUUUUUACUACUGUAACAUUCAUAUGGUUUUGAUAAAAUUGGAGGUAAACAAAGAUUGUUAUUAUUGCACCAUAAAGCUUGUUUUGAAAUAAUAGGAUUGUAACAAUAACUGUUACCAUUAUCGUCUUGUUUUCUAAGACAAGCAUUAGAUCCUUUCAUAAAUACAUAAGUACCUUCUAAUCUACUAUUUAAAGAUAAUUUUAACAAUUGGUCACCUACUUUAACAUUAGUAUAUAAAUUAUUAUUGUUUGUAAAAUGUAAGUUUAAAAUUAAACCAUUAUAUUCAUCAUUUGAGUUGUUUGGUUCAUUUGAUUUAUUGUCAGUAGAAAUUAUUUUUUUUUUCAUAUGUAUUAGAAGAUGGAAUAACAUUUUUUGUUUCGUUAUUUCCGAUAAUAUUAUUAAAAUUUGUAUCAUCAGAACUAAUAUGUUUUAUAUCUUCAUUUAAAUUAGUAUUGGAUGAUUCAGCUUCUUUUUCGAAUUUAUUUAUUUUGCUUUUAUUAUUAACAUCUGUCAGACUAUCAUAAGUAAUAGAACUAUCAGUAAUGGAACUAUCAGUAAUGG
rnacentral:lncRNA from 1 species